GAUCACACCACUGACUAGCUUGCAUUCGAUUUGACGAAUUUAUUUUGUUUGUGCUCGAACAACCAGAAUAUGCAGUCAAGUAAGGUUAUAUUGGACGUGCAAGGAAAACUGCAGGAAGUCAACAUAUCUCUCUAGCCCUGAAAACCAUAGAUGACUAAAGUACUUCUAUUGUGUUUGAGGCGAGUAAUUGAUACCAGCUGUUACAGUUUGAUCAUGGAUCAUAUAACCCAAAAAACUGUAUAACUAACCUGAAAGGCACUAUAUGGUUAUGAAGAAAUAUCAGUAGGAUUUUUUUUUUUUUUUUUUAAUUUGUUCAUGUGCAGCCCCCCUUCAUUUCAUUUGUACCCUAAUUGCUUGCUUAUGAGAGAGCUAUGCAUGUUAAUAUGUAAUUCAUAAAAUCAGCUCGUUUGAAGUUGGAAAUUAUUAUUAACUUGUUAAUAUAUAUAAAAGGAGUAUGCUCAGGGCAAUGAUUUCUUUAAGAUUA